ensembl:lncRNA
UUAAGUAAUCUUGUCAUUCAGACACUUUAUUUACUUUCAGUCUGAUCAAUGAAACAAUUCUCAUUCUUAACAAUGGGCUAACAUUUUAGGGUAAUUUCUGUGCUUGUCAGCAAGAACCCUGCUGUUAUUUUCCAAACAUGUUUUAUUAUUCCACUUACCAAUGUUGCCGGUGUAAAAUUUUAAAUCUGAUACUUGUGUCUUUGAAAAUGAAUGCUAUGUAUUUAUAUAUUUUACAGACAUUCCUGGUCCGGUUUGAAUAAGUCAUACAAAUAAACGGGUUGGUCAUGGACUGCAGUCUAUGGACAAGGAGGCUGGACAAGGAGACUGCGGUCUAUGGACAAGGAGACUGCGGUCUAUGGACAAGGAG